rnacentral:ncRNA from 1 species
CAAAGAUUUGGUCCUAAUCUUGCCAUUAAUUUUAGCUAAUUUUACACAUGUAAGUUUCCGCAAACCGGUGAAAAUGCCCCAACCCGCCUUUUAGCAUUAAAGGAGCUGAUAUCAGGUAAUAUUUACCCACAACAUCUUGCUACGCCACACCCCUAAGGGAAUUUCAGCAGUGAUAAACAUUGAAAUAUAAGUGAAAACUUGAAUCAGUUAUAGCAUAUAAAGUCGGCCAAUCUCGUGCCAGCCGCCGCGGUUAUACGAAAGACCUAAAUUAAUAAAUCCGGCCUAAAGGGUGGUUAGAUGUAACCUUACUAUAUUAGAAUAAAAAAUUAACUUAGCAGUUAUACGCAUAAGUUAAAUGUAGACACAACAUUGAAAAUAAUUCUAUAUUUUUAAACUAUUUGAAACCACGAUAGCUAUGAAACAAACUGGGAUUAGAUACCCCACUAUGCCUAGCAAUAAACUUUGAUAAUCCGCCAGAGUACUACGAGCAACAGCUUAAAACUCAAAGGACUUGACGGUGUUUUAUACCCACCUAGAGGAGCCUGUUCUAUAAUCGAUAUUCCCCGAUAAACCUCACCAACUAUUGCAAUUCAGCCUAUAUACCACCGCCCUCAGCUCACCUUUUAAAAGAAAUAAAGUAAGCAAAAUGAUAAACAUAAAAACGUCAGGUCAAGGUGUAGCAAAUUAGAUGGGAAGAAAUGGGCUACAUUUUAUAAAAUAUAAAAUAACGGAUAACCUUAUGAAAUUAAGACUAAAAGGAGGAUUUAGCAGUAAAAAGAAAAAAGAGUGUUCUUUUUAAAAUGGUAAUAAAACGCGCACACACCGCCCGUCACCCUCUCAUAUAUAUAUAAAUUAUAAAUAAUAAAUAAGAAAAACAAGAAGAGGAAAGUCGUAACAUGGUAAGCUUACCGGAAGGUGCGCUUGGA